AUCUAUGCUGACUUUAAAAAAUAUUUAAAUGCAAAAUUUCUAAAGUAAAACUCACUUAAUAUAGAUUUUUUAUUGUGUCGUUGAAUUUAAGAAUGCAAGCUUUCUACCUUUCAUCUGGGGAGUGAAAAUUGUAAAAUACUUAUUUGGGUAUCUAGACAAAUCUCAAUUGUUGACAUUUAACUCAUUUUCAUAAAUCAAUGGUUGAAAUUUGUUAAUACAUCAAAUAAAAUAUCAUAUGGAGUAGAUAAUUCAGAUUUUAACAUGAAAUCAUUGUAUGUAUCUAUGAAUAUCACCAAAGGAUGUUAAUCCUACUAGCAAAUGGUUUGAUUGAUCUAUAAUAUGUUAACAAUGACGUCAUACAUCCAAUCAAUCAUCAUUUAUAUGCGUUAUAUACGAAUUUCAUUUUAAAUAACUCUGCAUGAACGUAUUUACUUUUGAUUGGUCAUCCCGUAUUAUACGCACGUGAUGUGAAAAAAGGUAGAAAAAUGGAGGCGAACCAUCAUUGCCUCUAAUGUGAAGACCACAGAUAUAAAGCACCUCUUGGUAUCUUAUCAUUCAAAAAUCAGAAGCACCAUCGCUAACAUGAGAGGUCUGCAGACAACGGUAGUGGGAACAAGAGAAUGAAGAAACCACGACUCGGUAAAUUAGCGAUUUUUGGCAGAUGGAAAUAAUUGAAAGAUCACUCUAGAAGAAGAGUUCGUAACAGCUGAUUCAAAAGCGGAAAUUGAUGUGUGACACAAACGUGCGUUCUCCAAUGCCACUCGUACAAAAUCCAAGGGACAGGUGUAAGAUCUACUAAUUAAACACAUGACCCAGACUCUCUUUAUCCCCGGGCUGUCAUUGUUUUUAUAAUUGGAAUGGAAUGGAAUGAACACACGGAAGGAGAGAAGGUGAACUUGCUCCAGGAAACUUGCUUUGUGGAAUCCCACUUUGAUUCGUUAAGGGGACUUUUGGAAAUUCAUUGGUAACUAUGAAAUGAAUUUAUAAUUUCAAAAUAAUAAGGACAUUCACAAGUCAUUUUCUCCAUUUUCGAUAUUUUCUAAACUUGAAUUUAAAUAUCUUCAAUUUUGUAAUGAUACAGUUCAUUUUCUUUGUAGAUCGAUUGUUCAAACAUUAUUUCUUUCAUCAAUUGUUUAAGAGUGUUUUCCAUUAUAUUUCAUUAGUGUAUGAUUUUUAUCACAAGUUUUUUGUAUACUCUUCCAAGAUCUAUUGACAAGUACUGAAGAUGGAUAUUGAUGGUACCGUAGAUGGUGGUGACAUCGAUAAGUCAUGAGCCACGAUGAAAACAAUUAAAAAGUAGUGCCUCUCCUCUGUUAUCAUUUUCGAUCAUGGCCAUUGUCUUUUUGUCAACUCUAUCUAUGUAUUUUAAAGUAGUAUGUUUCCAUGUACAUCUUCAACUCAUCAGUAUAUAAGGACGAAGGUCUAAUGGAAGGCUGUGGGGUGUUCUUCUUCUCAAGAUACAGAGACUAAAAAAGCUUUUAGGCAUUGCUCAAUGAUAGUGCCAUCUUUGUUCAUGAAGUGGCCCUCGUCAUAUCAAAUUAUUUUUCUUAUGUAGCAUACAUAUUUUAGAGACAAUUCGUUGUCAUCGCCAAUAUCUGUUCCAUUGGACUUCCUCAUUUAAUUUGUAUUGUUGGUAAUAUGGAACAAGAAGAGUUUCUGCUAUCUACAACUUUCAUGUCCAAUAUAUUUUAAAGUGGCUUGAUGCACUUC
rnacentral:lncRNA from 1 species